GAUGAACGCUGGCGGCGUGCCUAAUACAUGCAAGUCGAGCGAACAGACGAGGAGCUUGCUCCUCUGACGCUAGCGGCGGACGGGUGAGUAACACGUGGAUAACCUACCUAUAAGACUGGGAUAACUUCGGGAAACCGGAGCUAAUACCGGAUAAUAUAUUGAACCGCAUGGUUCAAUAGUGAAAGACGGUUUUGCUGUCACUUAUAGAUGGAUCCGCGCCGCAUUAGCUAGUUGGUAAGGUAACGGCUUACCAAGGCAACGAUGCGUAGCCGACCUGAGAGGGUGAUCGGCCACACUGGAACUGAGACACGGUCCAGACUCCUACGGGAGGCAGCAGUAGGGAAUCUUCCGCAAUGGGCGAAAGCUUGACGGAGUAACGCCGCGUGAGUGAUGAAGGUCUUCGGAUCGUAAAACUCUGUUAUUAGGGAAGAACAAAUGUGUAAGUAACUAUGCACGUCUUGACGGUACCUAAUCAGAAAGCCACGGCUAACUACGUG
rnacentral:rRNA from 1 species